AUUGAACGCUGGCUGCAGGCCUAACACAUGCAAGUCGAGCGGAUGCAGGGAGCUUGCUCCUGUAUUCAGCGGCGGACGGGUGAGUAAUGCCUAGUAAUCUGCCUGGUAGUGGGGGAUAACUUCCGGAAACGGUCGCUAAUACCGCAUACGUCCUGAGGGAGAAACUGCGGGAUCUUCGGACCUCACUUUAUCAGUUGACCCUAGUUCGUAUUAGCUAGUUGGCUGGGUUAAGUCCUAACAAGGCGACGAUCCGUAACUGGGCUGAUAGGAUGAUCAGUCACACUGGAACUGAGACGAGGUACAGACUCCUACGGGAGGCAGCAGAGGGGAAUAUUAGACAAUGGGAGAAAGGCUGAUCCAGCCAAGCCGCGUGGGUGAAGAAGGUAUUCGGAUUGUAGAGCACUUUAAGUUGGGAGGAAGGGCAGUAAGUUAAAACCGUGAUGUUUUGACGGUACCAAAAGAAUAAGCACCGGCUAACUUCGUG
rnacentral:rRNA from 1 species